GACUUUGCUAUUUCAGAAGUGGCAGCACUGGCUAUCUGUCAAAUCAGGAUCUGGACCAAAGUGUUGACUCGAAUACAUACACAGAGUGUUGGCAAGCUAUUUUAUCAUGGAGUUAGUGACACAUUGUAAACAUUCCAAUGUGCUGCCUAGAAAAGAGCACGCAACAUCCCAAUCUAAUUGCUUUAUGCUGGUAUUCCUCCAAUACAUAAUAAUUAUUCUGACUGAAAACAUGGUAGCCAAAGGAAUACUCCUCGAUUGUCCCCCAUCCUCUUUCUUGGAUCUUAACUUCUAGGAUUGUUUGUUCAUAUUAGUUUACUCGCUGGCUGCCACAUUUUGCUUCCCAUGUGAGAUCUAUUGAAUUUCACGUGUGUUGAUGGUGUGGAAUCCUGGUAUUGCUAACUAUUAGCUCCAGUCUAAAUUUGGUCUUGUUGCCGAUUUUUUUUGGCACAAUACUUUCCCUCCAGAAGCCGGUCUUUAGUGAACUAUCGGAGGAGGUUGAUCCAAAAUAUUCAUUGAUUCACUGGCCUAUUAGCACGAAAUGUGGUAAAACCCUUUUGAGAAGAGCCUUGCUGUGCCAAACUUUAAAGUUCUGUUGAUCGUUCGACAUUCCAAGAACUUUUCCAGGAAUUCGAAGGAAGUUCUAGUGGCAGCUUAUGUUCACUGGCAAAUGCUGCGUGACACAUUAUGACACACAAAACAAGCCUAGACGCCCAUUUAUUCCACAUCAAACAUCUCUUUAUCCUUCGUGAGCAGAUAACUCCUUUUCAAGUCGACUUAAAAGUAGCGGUCGACGAAAUAGCGGGCAGCAGAGUGCCGAUUUGACUUUUGAGAACGUUAUAUUGGAGCACUUCCACCACUUUGAAAAAUUUGUGACAUCUAAUGUGAAGCUGCCCCUUCAACACUACAACCAAAUUGAAGAUCUCGAUUCGGCUUUAGCCAACAACGAUCUAUCGAUU
rnacentral:lncRNA from 1 species